GGAGCUUGAGCAGAAGGUUCUGCGUUUCAAUUGCAAAUUGAAAUAAAGGGAUUCGACUUCCAUCAAGCUUCA
rnacentral:tRNA from 1 species